UACGGGGGGAGCAAGCGUUGUUCGGAUUUACUGGGCGUAAAGGGCGCGUAGGCGGCCAGCACAAGUCAAUUGUGAAAUCUCCGGGCUUAACUCGGAAAGGUCAACUGAUACUGUGCGGCUAGAGUGCGGAAGGGGCAACUGGAAUUCUUGGUGUAGCGGUGAAAUGCGUAGAUAUCAAGAGGAACACCUGCGGCGAAGGCGGGUUGCUGGGCCGACACUGACGCUGAGACACGAAAGCCAGGGGAGCGAACAGG
rnacentral:rRNA from 1 species